UACGGAGGGUGCAAGCGUUAUCCGGAAUCACUGGGUUUAAAGGGUGCGUAGGCGGCCUGGUAAGUCAGGGGUGAAAGCUUCCCGCUCAACGGGAGAACUGCCCUUGAUACUGCCGGGCUCGAAUUGGGUUGAGGCUGGCGGAAUGUGGCAUGUAGCGGUGAAAUGCUUAGAUAUGCCAUAGAACACCGAUUGCGAAGGCAGCUGGCCAAGCCUUGAUUGACGCUGAGGCACGAAAGCGUGGGGAGCGAACAGG
rnacentral:rRNA from 1 species